UGUUGAUUUCUCUGCGUGCCAACUUCCUUCAAUAGCUUGGGUGCCUGCAUACAGCCAGUCCGUGGCACGGCAUGCGUGCCAGCGAGCACCUUUCCAAUUACCUAAGCGAAACCCCAGGAUCCAUCGCAGAUGGGUACCCUGGUCUGGCUGGGCCAUGCUUGACUGAAGGCCACAAGGAGCAGGGAGGGACAAUGGCACAAGUCAUCCCCUGCCUCUGGGCAGGGGGGCUUGUUCGUAACGCCGCUGCUGGCUGUCUCAGCGAGGAACUGCUUUUAUCACUCUCUUUCAUCGUCAUAACACGAAUCUUAUGACUUCAAACAAGUUCAAGCCGAUACAAGCAUGCCUAUCGGGAAAUCCUGCUCCACAUCAUGAAAAGAGGGGGUUGCUUCGGUUCUAGGCAUAAAGCGACUGGUUUUGUGAGCUACUGCGUAUCAAUUCUUGCUGGAGUCGGUGGAAGUUGAGAAUCCUCAGAACCACAAGGAUUUCGGAGUGAAGACUACGGGGCAGGUUUGACCAGGAGGGCCAAAGCAAGGUUGUUCCACGUCCUGAAAAGUCUGAAAAAAAGUCUCAAAUUUAUAGCAGGCCAGCUUCUUGGCAAUAUUAGAUGCUUCUACAAGAACAUUUCAAUUUGGCUGAAGAAUGUGCUUUUGAAGCAGGUCUGAUCACCUUGGCGUGCUGUGCUCGGGUUCUGUCUGCGCAGUGGACUCGGAGUGCGUGGCCCGCGUUCCUUCUGGGUACGCCUAAAGCAGGCGGCGGCUCCAGGAGGACACCCGACGUACCCCGGCAGCUAGCUGGCAUUCAGUCCCUAGGACCAGGCUGCAGUUCAAGUAGAACCCCUGAGACCUGUGGAGCGUGGUGUUAGGUCCCCACCACUAAUUGCUUUGGUCUGUGUGUCCACAGCUGUUGCUUCCCACUGGUGCUAAUACAGUUAUUGCCAGCUGUAGCCUGAGUUUCAGAGGUGCAGAGUGUUUGUAUUUGCCACUGAAACCAC